GACGAACGCUGGCGGCGUGCCUAAUACAUGCAAGUAGAACGCUGAAGAGAGGAGCUUGCUCUUCUUGGAUGAGUUGCGAACGGGUGAGUAACGCGUAGGUAACCUGCCUUGUAGCGGGGGAUAACUAUUGGAAACGAUAGCUAAUACCGCAUAACAAUGGAUGACACAUGUCAUUUAUUUGAAAGGGGCAAUUGCUCCACUACAAGAUGGACCUGCGUUGUAUUAGCUAGUAGGUGAGGUAACGGCUCACCUAGGCGACGAUACAUAGCCGACCUGAGAGGGUGAUCGGCCACACUGGGACUGAGACACGGCCCAGACUCCUACGGGAGGCAGCAGUAGGGAAUCUUCGGCAAUGGGGGCAACCCUGACCGAGCAACGCCGCGUGAGUGAAGAAGGUUUUCGGAUCGUAAAGCUCUGUUGUAAGUCAAGAACGAGUGUGAGAGUGGAAAAGUUCACACUGUGACGGUAGC
rnacentral:rRNA from 1 species